GUGCGCCCGGCAGCCCCGGGCGGGAGCGGGCGGGCGUGCACAGGAGAGUAUGCCUCUCUCGCCGGGUGCGCAUACGGGCACGACCGUGUGUAUAUGGGAUAGUCAGUACUGAAGUUCACAUGCUGGGGGAAGAAUGACAUCAAAGAACAUUAUGUGAAGCAAUGUGUCCAUCUCUGUGCAGCUUCAGAAGAAGGACAUUGAAGCAGUCUUCCGAUCCAGUUACUGGAUUGCUGGUAUUGCCACAAAGAAAGCCACAUUCAGUCACUCAAGCUACUUCACGAGCCUACCAAACUAAGCCCCUUUUUCUUUUUUCCAAGCACCUAAAGAGAGGGCUUGUACAACAGAUUUUAAAGAGCUUUGCAAGGUUUCAAGACCAAAGCCAAUUAAAGGAAGAAGCUAAGAGAAACAAGAUAGUAAAUUAAGAUGAUCCAGGUCUUUGGCAAACACAGGAUCUGGAGAAAAAAGACAGAAGCCACAAGGCAUUACUUUUUGUCUCCUGACUCGGAAAAUGGCAAUGAGCCAAAGCUUGAGGUGCUCUAAACUGGUAUUCCUUGCUUAAAACUUUGACAGGACAUUAUUGAUCAUUGCCUCAGAUGGAGAAAUGGCCAUAAUUUAGGAUGUUGGUUUUACAAUUCUUAAUGCUGGAUUAGGUGGCUAGACUAAAUUAUCUUCAAGAAGUCCUUUCUUUUUUUUUAAAGUUUGACGACAUAGUGAGUCACUCCAAGAAUGCAGAUAUACAUGUAACGGUGGCUAUGAGGAAAAUGAGGUAGUAUUGGUAUAAGUCCUCUUCCCACUACUGUAACAUUUUUCAUUUCCUUUUAAACACUGUAUUUUGCACCCUUUUUAUACAUUAACCUGUGCUAAAGACUGUGUAGUUAAAACUCAACAUUUUUAUAAAAUGUACC